rnacentral:lncRNA from 1 species
CUUCAUCUGCGUUUCCAAACUAUUCAUGUCACAAGAGAUUGUAACAGUACUACAUAGCGAAUGAUUCGGAAACCUUCAAAUGCUGGUAUUGGGCUGUUGGUCUUAUUGCUUUGUCAUGUGCUGAGAUUCUGCAUUACAAAUGUAUUUCUCAGUUUCAGAAGAGAUGUGAUACCUCCAGAUACAGUACAGCCCAGGGUUCUGGGUGACCAUUCAACACAGGAGAGCUGCUCUAGGCCACUGUCUUAUUCUUCAUUGACUGCAGCUCACCUUGUCCUGAAGUCAGUUAUCCACCAGGAGCAGGCACUACCAUGCUUAAGAGGAGCUCUUUUGAGAAAAAAGUUGUAGAAGGCUUUGGUAAGACUACAAAGGAACAAGUAAUUGGUUAACUCCAUGCUGAAAAGAGAAGAAAGAAAACAACGUUUCGGCCGGAGAGCCUUCUUCAGGUGUAAGAAAGACAGGGCAGUAAGCAAAGGUAAUGUAGCUGGAGAACAAAAGCUGGGUGAGAGGAGGAGCGAGGGGUGGGAGCAGG